GCAAGUCGAGCGGUAACAGAUCUAGCUUGCUAGAUGCUGACGAGCGGCGGACGGGUGAGUAACGCGUGGGCAACCUGCCCUGUAUAAAGGGAUAGCCACUGGAAACGGUGAUUAAUACCUUAUAAGACUACAGAAACACAUGUUUCAGUAGCCAAAGCUCCGGCGAUACAGGAUGGGCCCGCGUUUGAUUAGCUAGUUGGUGAGGUAAUGGCUCACCAAGGCGACGAUCAAUAGCCGACCUGAGAGGGUGAUC
rnacentral:rRNA from 1 species